AAAAUAACAAUGAUUUCCUUAGUAACGGCGAGUGAACAGGAAAAAGCUCAAAGUUGGAACCUGUUUGGCCUAGCUAAACCGGAUUGUAAACUGUAGAAGUGUUUUCCAGGCAAGCCGGACCGAUAAGUCCUUUGGAACAGGGCAUCAUAGAGGGUGAGAAUCCCGUCUUCGGUCUGAGCAUUUGCCUUUUGCGAUACACUUUCAAAGAGUCAGGUUGUUUGGGAAUGCAGCCUAAAUUGGGUGGUAAAUCUCACCUAAAGCUAAAUAUUGGCGAGAAACCGAUAGCGAACAAGUACCGUGAGGGAAAGAUGAAAAGAACUUUGAAAAGAGAGUUAAACAGUAUGUGAAAUUGUUAAAAGGGAACCGUUUGGAGCCAGACUGGCUUGUCUGUAAUCAGUCUAAGCUUCGGCUUGGAUGCACUUGCAGGCUAUGCCUGCCAACGACAAUUUGGCUUGAGGGAAAAAACUAAGGGAAAUGUGGCCCAUCCGUGGGUGUUAUAGUCCCUUAGAAAAUACCUUGGGCUGGAUUGAGGUACGCAGCGAAUGCUAUUUGGCGAGUUGGCUGGGAAUAUUUUCUGAGGUGCUUCUGGUACUGAGGUUGAUAUUCCUAGUUACACUUCUAUUCGCUUAGGUUGUUGGCUUAAUGACUCUAAAUGAC
rnacentral:rRNA from 1 species